rnacentral:rRNA from 1 species
CGUAAACAGAGGGAAGCGAGCCUGCGAGGGGGAGCGAAUCCCAAAAAUAACGUCCCAGUUCGGAUUGUAGUCUGCAACCCGACUACAUGAAGCUGGAAUCGCUAGUAAUCGCGGAUCAGAAUGCCGCGGUGAAUACGUUCCCGGGUCUUGUACACACCGCCCGUCACACCAUGGGAGUUGGGAAUGCCCGAAGCCGGUGACCUAACCGAAAGGGAGGAGCCGUCGAAGGCAGGCUUGAUAACUGGGGUGAAGUCGUAACAAGGUAGC